UACGUAGGGUCCGAGCGUUGUCCGGAUUUAUUGGGCGUAAAGAGCUCGUAGGCGGCUCAGUAAGUCGGAUGUGAAAACUCGGGGCUCAACCCCGAGACGCCAUCCGAUACUGCUGUGGCUUGAGUCUGGUAGGGGAGACUGGAAUUCCUGGUGUAGCGGUGAAAUGCGCAGAUAUCAGGAGGAACACCAAUAGCGAAGGCAGCUCGCUGGGACGUUACUGACACUGAGGCGCGAAAGCGUGGGGAGCGAACAGG
rnacentral:rRNA from 1 species